rnacentral:rRNA from 1 species
AACGAACGCUGGCGGCAUGCCUAACACAUGCAAGUCGAACGAGACCUUCGGGUCUAGUGGCGCACGGGUGCGUAACGUGUGGGAACCUGCCCUUAGGUUCGGAAUAACUCCCCGAAAGGGGUGCUAAUACCGGAUAAUGUCUUCGGACCAAAGAUUUAUCGCCUUUGGAUGGGCCCGCGUUGGAUUAGCUAGUUGGUAGGGUAAAAGCCUACCAAGGCGACGAUCCAUAGCUGAUCUGAGAGGAUGAUCAGCCACACUGGGACUGAGACACGGCCCAGACUCCUACGGGAGGCAGCAGUGGGGAAUAUUGGACAAUGGGCGAAAGCCUGAUCCAGCAAUGCCGCGUGAGUGAUGAAGGCCUUAGGGUUGUAAAGCUCUUUUACCCGGGAUGAUAAUGACAGUACCGGGAGAAUAAGCUCCGGCUAACUCCGUG